AACGAACGCUGGCGGCAUGCCUAACACAUGCAAGUCGAACGAGACCUUCGGGUCUAGUGGCGCACGGGUGCGUAACGCGUGGGAACCUGCCCUUAGGUUCGGAAUAACUCCCCGAAAGGGGUGCUAAUACUGGAUAAUGUCUUCGGACCAAAGAUUUAUCGCCUUUGGAUGGGCCCGCGUUGGAUUAGCUAGUUGGUAGGGUAAAAGCCUACCAAGGCGACGAUCCAUAGCUGGUCUGAGAGGAUGAUCAGCCACACUGGGACUGAGACACGGCCCAGACUCCUACGGGAGGCAGCAGUGGGGAAUAUUGGACAAUGGGCGAAAGCCUGAUCCAGCAAUGCCGCGUGAGUGAUGAAGGCCUUAGGGUUGUAAAGCUCUUUUACCCGGGAUGAUAAUGACAGUACCGGGAGAAUAAGCUCCGGCUAACUCCG
rnacentral:rRNA from 1 species